UUUAUUAAAAGAAAAAGGGGUGAAAAGAACAAUGUUUUGUCCAUCUUUGUUCAUCAUAGCUGAAAGUUAGAGAAGAGAAAGGAGAGGAGAAAGCUCUUGAGUAUUCGGUCAUUAAGAGGAGGAAAAUUGAAGGAAAUCCCCAACCAUAGUGGGCUUGGAGCUGUGAGGGAAUUCGGAGUGGCCACCCAUUCUGAAAGUUUGAUUUUCUUCUGGUGAACUGGACAUCCUUUUAUUUACGUUUGAAGUUUUUGGGCUUUUAAAUGUAAUAAGGCCGCUUAAUUAUUUUUGAUGGUUUUAAUAUGUAUUACUAAGAUAGGUAAUACUUAUUUUAA